ACUCAAAGACGCCCGCUAAAUGUUAACAGCGCUCAACACUGCUGCUUCAAACGCCUCCCCGGCCUUGUCAGCUUGACACGCGCGGCGGGUCGGAGGCUCACUGGACCAGAAACUUGUCUGGCAGGACGGACUGGUUGGCCCCGCGGCAUUCCAGCCCAGUGUCAUCACCUUGAAAACAGGAGAUGCUUUUGCCUCACUGGGCGUCCAGAGGUGCGUCGGCCAACAAUUCCGAUCACAACCGCAGCGCCGUCUCCCAGAAACUCAGUACUGAAUCUCACAAAGGUCACCACCUAGGAUCCCAACACAGUGUGAGAUGCUAUGGGACGCCGUUGCCCUCCAGCUAGUCUCUGAGCAGUGGUGGACCUUGGGCUGCCAAAGCGGGAACAGGAAGGGCACAAGAUCUGCAUUAAUUCUAGUCUUAAUCCUGUUAGAAGGUGAUUAGUUUUCUUGACAUGUAUCCGCCACCCGGUCAUUACUGACAAGCUAACAAAUGAAAAAAAGAGAGAAACAAAGAGAAAAAAGAAAAAAGGCGGGCCUUCACACAGGACAAGGUUCAGGAGAGCACCCUUAUAGAAAUAGAUCAACUAUGUAAAUUCCUCAAGGUCUUUACUGACACGGUAAAGCCUCUACAGGUAUUAUCAAAGAGAAGAUGAGAACCUUGAACUGAGAGGACCUCACAAGCC
rnacentral:lncRNA from 1 species